CAGUAGCGCGGUAAUACAGAGGUCUCAAGCGUUGUUCGGAUUCAUUGGGCGUAAAGGGUGCGUAGGUGGCUUGGUAAGUUGAAGGUGAAAUCUCGGGGCUUAACUCCGAAACUGCCUUCAAUACUGCUGAGCUCGAGGAUUGUAGAGGAGAAUGGAAUUCACGGUGUAGCAGUGAAAUGCGUAGAUAUCGUGAGGAAGACCAGUGGCGAAGGCGAUUCUCUGGGCAAUUCCUGACACUGAGGCACGAAGGCCAGGGGAGCAAACGGGAUUAGAUACCCCCGUAGUCCCUGUCUCUUAUACC
rnacentral:rRNA from 1 species